CUUUCUCUCACUAGUCACUAAAGCUGUCUUCCUCUUCUCUCUCUCACAGGAAACUCCACCAGGGCACCAAUCCUCCAUUAAAAGACCUGCAAUUACAAGCCCAAACCCUAACCCUUACAAUUUCCAGUUUACCUCUUCUCUCCACAUAGAGACACAGGGAGAGAAAGAAGAAGGCGGAGAUGGAGGGUGGCCGGUCGGCCGACUACGACGGUGGCACGACGGAUCUCCACCCCCAAAUCCCAACCGCCGCCAUGGUUGCCGAAAAAACGAUCUGAAAUCGAGCCCCCUAGUUGCAGGUGUCAGAGACGAAGCCGGAGGCGUCUGCAACUCGCCGGAGAUGACUGCAACUUUCAGACGCAUCCCGUGCACUUUCAGACGCAUCCCGGCAAAUGCCGGAAAGUAUUGGCGAAAACCUACAACUCGCCGGAAAAAAUGGCAAAAACCUGCAACUCGCGGAAAAAAUGGCGGAAACCUGCAAAUCGCCGGAAAAAAUGGCGGAAACUUGCCCGACGCAUCCCGUGCAUGAUGCCUCGCUCCAAGGACGCAUCCGUGCACUUUCAAACCUGUUUCUGUUCUUUCACUAAGCCGAUAGCCUUUUGAACACUCGCGAAUCUCUCGAGCUCAAUUGUCUUCUUUGCAGGUCUGUUUCUGUUCUUUCACUUCAUUUCUAAGUUGCGAACCCUAAUUUUGUGAAGGAUUUAUGUUGUGAGUGUGUGUUGUCAAAUUUGUUGCGAAUUCUAGGUUGAUUUGUUACUAUUCGUGGUUCAUAUUAUAGAGUUCGUUGAAAACACAAUUGAUUGUAAGUGAACACGUGAAAUUUGUUGAAUAUAGUGUGGAAUUUGAGAUUAUAGCAUGAAGGUGAAUAUAUGAUUGAAGUUAAGUGGAAUUCAGUGACCUUAGAGUUUGGUUAUGAAUUGUAGUUAGGCAUAGGCUAGUGAUUUGGAGAUAUAAUUGAACUGUUAAAGGCACAUGAACCGUUGUAACUGGAAUUCAAAGAAUUCGACGGUCAAUCGUUCGGUUUCUCCGUAUAUCAGCCACCGAAAAUCCGUCAACAAUCCAGUUGUAGUUACUCAACGGUCGUACAACAAACCUCGCCUCAAUCACAGCGUAUCGGAUGGAAGAGUCUACAGUUCACCACAGAUAACAAUUACUACUGGCGGUUGUAUCGAUAGUAGUUCAUCAAACUCGAAGAAACUGAAUUUUGUUAGGUUUCCGUGUAUUUCAAAUCUGUUCAGGUCUAGAAGUCGUAACGGAAACCGUAACGGAGAUCGUAACGAAAAUUGUAACCGCAACGGAGAUGCCGAUUUGAGACUUAGGGUUUUGGUUUCGAGUUGUAACGGAUAGAGCGGGGGUGGCGGUAGGCCGUCGUCGGUGACGCCGUCGCCGGCAUGGUGGUGUGGUCGUUAGUCGUCUGUAACUGCCUCUAACGGCAGAGUGCGGAAGAAACGGUGUGUUUCGGAUCGAGGAAUGUCACCGGUGCGAACCGAUGAUGACGUCAGUGACGGUUCGAGCGCGAACGAGUCGGCGGAGUCGUGUAAACAGACGCCGAUGAAAACUCAGGUCCGUCGCGACGGCAGACAGAAGAGGGUGACGGAAUUGAUUUUUUGUCCGUUAGUGAGUGCGAGCCCUCACCGGAUGUUGAACCUGAAAGGAAAGCCGCCGGUGGAUUGUGGAUAUUCAGGCGAUGUAAGAGCUCCGGAAUUGAUGAAGCUUAUGAAACAAAUCUUCGAGUUGUAUGCAUCAAACGGAGAUUACAAAUAUGCCAGACGUUUAGCGAUCAUGAGGGUCUUUCGCAACAAUCGUUUGUGAUACAGACACCAAAGUACCAUAAGCAAUAUCUGCUACCAGACAGGCAGUUUCCUGAAGCAGCGAAAGCAAAGACCGAAUCAUUCAGUUUGAGGAGAGAGCGUAACAAACGAGAUUUAAAAGAAUUUGGAUCGGAUUUGGUUGAUUUUACAUUUGCAAAAGCUGCAUCAAACAAAGGAUCAGAAAAACGAUCGAGAUCAGUUCACCAAGUCGGUUCAGAAUCAAGCGAUCGGGAUCUCUUGCUAACCCAUCUGUCAGCCCAGUCUCUCGGGUUGGGUAUGCUGGAUCGGUUAUUAAUCGAUCAUUCAGUCCAAAUACACAGUUGAAGCAUCAGGCAGAGGCAAGGAGGUCUUAUUCGUUGCUGAGUUCACUUUGAUGUUGUUCUUGUAGUGGUUUGUUUUGCACAGUUGCUGCCAAAUUGGUACGUGCUCCCGGGAUGGCUGAGCUCAAGAUCUCACUAGCUAAACCAGGUCUACGGUCUGAUGGAGUCUCGGUCUGGGAAUGGUCAGGCUCGGCCUUGGACGAGGGAGAUGAGGCUACUAAAUGGUUCACUGACUUCCUCGGGAAACCUAGCCGCUUGGUACGCUUUAAUGAAGAGUCAGAGACGCGACCCACUGACCCUCAUUAUGCUACUGGAUUCAAUGUGAAAUUUCCAGAUGCUUUCCCCUACCUUUUAAUCUCCGAGGUGCAACCUUAAGAAGCUAACUUACGAAGAGAGGAAACAAAAGCUUAUCGAGAGGUUGAAUGCUUUGAAUGAUACUGCUGGAGUAAAUGAUGAUGACGAUUCAGACGAAGAAUGAUGAUUUUUGACUUUUGUUAAAUGUUUGUUAGUUUGUGGUUUAAACAUGUUAGAAGUAUGUUGAAUUCAAAACAAUUUUUGUAAUUGUUUUUCGUGAUUAUUCUUGUAAGCUUUUAGCAAAAAAACGCUGGAAUUUCCGGGUU